rnacentral:rRNA from 1 species
UACGUAGGUGACCAGCGUUGUCCGGAUUUACUGGGCGUAAAGAGCGCGCAGGCGGUCGUUCAAGUCGAGUGUGAAAGCCCCCGGCUCAACUGGGGAGGGUCAUUCGAUACUGAUCGACUGGAAGGCAGGAGAGGGAAGCGGAAUUCCCGGUGUAGUGGUGAAAUGCGUAGAUAUCGGGAGGAAUACCAGAGGCGAAGGCGGCUACCUGGACAAUUGCUGACGCUCAGGCACGAAAGCGUGGGGAGCAAAAGGG